rnacentral:rRNA from 1 species
GUGUCAGCCGCCGCGGUAAUACGGAGGGGGCUAGCGUUGUUCGGAAUUACUGGGCGUAAAGCGCACGUAGGCGGCUUUGUAAGUUAGAGGUGAAAGCCCGGGGCUCAACUCCGGAAUUGCCUUUAAGACUGCAUCGCUAGAAUUGUGGAGAGGUAAGUGGAAUUCCGAGUGUAGAGGUGAAAUUCGUAGAUAUUCGGAAGAACACCAGUGGCGAAGGCGACUUACUGGACACAUAUUGACGCUGAGGUGCGAAAGCGUGGGGAGCAAACAGGAUUAGAAACCCUGGUAGUCC